AAGAGUUUUUGAUUCAUCACCAGUCCUGCGAAAAGCAAUCAUUCUUGGAUAUAGUCCAAUCCGACCUUGGCUGUCCAUAGCUCACUGGGUGAACUGGCAUUUCAAUCUGAGAAAGUUCAGACCAAGCGAAGUGAAUAGGGUGAAGAUUAGCUUGGCUUGUGUUUUCGCCUUCAUGGCCGUUGGGUGGCCACUGAUCAUAUACAAAUUUUGGCAUAUUAGGAUGGGUUGAGUUCUGGUUGAUGCCAUGGUUGGGCUAUCACUUUUGGAUGAGCACGUUCACGAUGGUUCAUCAUACGGCUCAAGCACAAUGCAGAAGAGUGUGACACCAUGCCUACAAAGAUAAUGCAACCAAACUAUAAUUAUGUUUAGAUAGUAUUGUAUAGAGGAAAUUAAAUAAAGAGCACCAAAAGGGUGUGAGACAAGUUCUAGAGAUAAGUUUCAGCAUGAAAUUUAACGAAAGAGUUACUCUUUAUACCUGAUCAGUUCUUUAGCCUAAACUAUGAGACCAUUUAAAGAUACUUUGUCACCUGAAAAACAAAGACACAGAAAACAUCAAUCCUCCACGUCACUUUACAGGAGCCGGAGAGCUUUCGCUGGAUGCCAAGAGUCUGUUUACCAAGCUUUCACCAACUAAAUUUUGCUUGAACGUGAUCAGGACGCCUACCGGUAAAGCUUAUUGAGAAGAAAUGAAGAAUGCACUCCGAUCAACAGCUAAUGGCAAGCAAAGAUACUGAGAAAUUUUUGGUGAAACUAUCUUGUUUAGCGUUGUGAUGCGUCUUUGUAAUGGGCUAGUUUUGGGCAUUUGUUAUAUUUGAUAUAUAAAAAACUGUAACAAUCACAUAAUUGAUUCUCAUUUUCUGUUUGAGAAAAUUUGACAUUAAAGACAAAUGAGAGAAGUUGAAGUUGAAGUCUAUAGACUAAAAUAUUGCUUUUCAGUUGCUUAGUCAUGGUCAUCAGUGUUUUUCUCGCGUUUAGGUGUCAAAAUUCUUAGAUAUAAUUGGUUUUUGGGUAUAUUGACUAGACUAAAAUUCAACAUAUUUAAGUGAAAUUGUUCUCAUAGCAAACAUUUUUAGUAGUUUCUAAGUUAGUCAAUUCAUCAGCACAAUAAAUCAGUUUAUUUAUUUAGAUGUAAACGAAAUUAUUCUCAUAGCAAACAUUUUUAGUUGUUUCUAAGUUAGUCAAUUCAUCAUCACAAUAAAUCAGUUUGUUUAUUUAGAUGUUAAUGAAACAUUUGUAUAGCGUAGGUUAGACACAAAUAGAAGAUAGAUGUUGAAAAACAACAAAGAAAAUAAUAAAACUAAAUGUAAGUUUUAAGAAAUAAACUCACUCAUCUUGUGAAUGUAAUGGCUUUAGAGUACUGAACAAUGUUUCAUUUAUAUGCACCUUCAAAAUCAUGAUAUAUUCUUAUAAGACUAUUUGAUUAUAAAAAUGAGUCCCCAAAGCAUAAUAACAU